UACGUAGGGUGCGAGCGUUAAUCGGAAUUACUGGGCGUAAAGCGUGCGCAGGCGGUUCGUUGUGUCGGCGGUGAAAGCCCCGGGCUUAACCUGGGAAUGGCCGUCGAAACUGGCGAACUGGAGUGUGGCAGAGGGGGGUGGAAUUCCGCGUGUAGCAGUGAAAUGCGUAGAGAUCGGAAAGAACACCAACGGCGAAAGCACUCUGCUGGGCCGACACUGACACUGAGAGACGAAAGCUAGGGGAGCGAAUGGG
rnacentral:rRNA from 1 species